GUACUCGGGAAACCGCGCCACGACCAACAUGGGUAUCAUUGAUGUAUAUCACGUGUCAGGAUUUGCCCCAGUUGCCAGGAGCCUUAAAUUGCUCAUACAUGAAACCAAAACGUAUUCCAUUGUCGUUAAGCAAGAGACGCCGGUAUCCAAUCUACAGCCGGCUAAUGUCAUCGUUUAUGACUACUACGACCCAAGAGAAAGAGCGGAGGCUGAAUACCAUGCCCCCUGUGCAGGUAACUGAUGCCCCUUGUGGUACCUCUUUGCUUUCGGGAGAAGGAAGGCGGCGGCCAAUUACGCACCUCUUACAAAGGGGAACUGACACUGAUAUCAUUUUUAAUCAAAAAAUUUUACAUAUU